rnacentral:tRNA from 1 species
GGAGUUGGGGCCGAGUGGGUAAGGCGAUGGACUAGAAAUCCAUUGGGGUUUCCCCACACAGGUUCGAAACCUGCCAACAACG